AUUCAAGUUUCAUUUUGGAAGGGCGAAGGUAUUAUAACAAGAAUAUGGAUGUAACAAAAUGGUGGGCAAGACAGUUCACAUACAGGCUGCUGGAAGGGUUCUUUUCUUAGGGGUGGAAUCGAUAAAAUGUUCAUUGUGCAUUUUUCUGAUUGCAUGCUUCCGGGCUGCACUCGGCCCGUUGGCUUGCCUGAUGCUGAUGACAUUGUUGUUCUCGCUGUUUCUUGGGAUUUCAACUUUCUCCAUUGUUGGCGGCGUUCUUUGGUCAUGGGCCUCUUUCGCAGCGUGGGCGUCGUGACAGAUGACUUUCGUGUCCUUUUCGUGUGCCCUUUGC
rnacentral:lncRNA from 1 species